rnacentral:lncRNA from 1 species
GGCUUCUCAGGACGAAAGGCAUAAUCGGCGGUCUCAGAACAGAGCAACGCUAAUGAGGAUGACCCUGACCUCAUAAGAAUAGUGUUCUGACCCCCUGACCCAAAUGGAAAUAGAAAAGCUUGAGCAGUACAUUUAAGACUUCAGCUCUGGAUUACCUAACAGUGUAUGAGAGCAAAGCACUCCUUGACUAUAGACACCAACUUUGAGAUAAGACAUAAAACCAGAGUCCUGGUAUUUUCUGGAAGAGUAGAGUCACUAGCUCCAGUGUCCUGGCCAAAUUUCAAUUUGGGUUUCACAGGAUCACGCAGGUUGGCUGUUUUUCUGCUUUGGUGUCCUAAGAAGCCAGUCUAACAGAUAUUCAGUGGGCACCGAAGGGCUGAGAAAUACACAUUUGCAAUGAGAUGUUCUGGCCAUUGCUCUCCAGUGUGCGAUUGGGAUCAGAGAUUUUCAGAAGACAAUUUGGAAACUUCAGAAACAAAAUACAGGCUUCAGUUCCUUUCUAGAACUAAGGAUUUGGAAAACUGAAUUUCAAAGGAUGAAAAUGUCUCUACUCUCACAACAAAAUGGUGUUUUAAGAACUGUGACACAAAUAUUUUACAAAAAUAUGCAAUCACACAACCACAAACCAUGUAUUCCUGCCUCAGCCACCUUGCAAUAAUACCUGCUUGGAACAUGGUAGAAAACAUGAACCAAGCCAAGUAAGACCCUUGCAAAGAAAACCAAUUAGGCAAAGUUCAAAUUGGCUUUUACUUACCAGAAAGCCUUCGGAGCUACUGCUCAAAGAUGAUUUAUUUCAUUUAUUGUAUUGAAAUGAUUUAUUUUUGCUUAAUUCACAAUGCCCUGAAUUUAGUCAUCCAGCUUCAAGGUCAAAAGUAGGAAUAACAAUUACAUGGGGGCUGCCAUAACCUAGCCUACAAAUAUUAGUGGAGAGUGAUAGCAUUUAAAAUUUCAAAAACUGCAGCAGCCUUUCAUCUUCAUGAUUUAUUUUGCCUAUAGCAGAUUCCAGAGGGAUAAAGUAAACUGAUCUUGGCCAUCAUAUUUUUUUUCUUAUGCCCAUGUGUUAAUUUCCAAAAUACAGAGCUGGAAUAAUCAUCCAGGUCUAUGUAUGUAUGUCGUACUCCACUUUUCGUAUCUUUAUUUGGCUUGUUUGUCCAUCUCUUAGUUUACUUAACUAUUCAAUGAGGAUGAUAGUCAUUGUUUCAUAGAAAUAGAGUUGAACUUUACAUUUCAAUGGAUUUUAAACAUAAUUAUCUCAUAUAAGAAUUUUUCAUUUCUGUUGAAUAAAAUAAAGCUAAUGAUCCUAACUGAACA